rnacentral:lncRNA from 12 species
AAGAAAGGAUUUUACAUAUUCCCAGAAUUUGUGCAGAAAAGGGAAAGCACAUUAUUGGCAAUUUCUACUUCUCAUAUCCAAAGUAAUGAAUUCACACAAAAUCAGGAACCCCCCCCCCCCCAAAAAAAAAUCAGGACCUCCACGUUAAGUAAGCAUAAAAAGGAAAAAAGAAAUCCUGGAUUGGAGAUAUAAUAAUAUCCCUGAAUAACGGUUAGGCUAAUUCAUCAACAGCAAAGGAAUUCAAGUGGUCAACAGUCUUGAAAAAUGCUUUAUUGGAAUGUGUGAUUUAUGUGCAGAAGAUGUGUUUGAAAAGACCACAGCUUAAAAACUGGUUUUUGAACCAUCUCAACAACCAAUUGAAAAAAAAAAGAAAGAAAGAAAGAAAAGAAAAUCCCUAAUGGACUUGACUUCUAAUGUAACCAGAAGCCUGGUGUAUCUUGUUCAGGAAACAGUUUUGACCACUCGAGAAGCUGAGAUCUAAAGUAAUAAGAAUUCGAAAAAAAUACAAAAGAGCAACCCCUAAUUAAACAUAAGUCUAAAUAUAAAUAUUGAAAGUAUUAAGUAUUUACUUUAAUANNNNNNNNNNUGGAGAAUAUGGACUUCACAGUUCUUGCAAGUACACCACAGAGCGUUCAAGUCUAUACACUUGUCAUGGUGGAGGAACCGAGAGAAACACACAUGGGAAAGGAGAACGGACGACAGGAGAAAGAGAGGAGACCUGAGAAAGAACUGGAACACGACAUGAUUCCGUUAACGAAAGUAAAAAAGUUUCAAACAUGGAAAUGGACAGAAAAGUACAACGAGCAAGUCUAACUUAAAUAAUCACUUAAACUUAAGUCGUGGAAGGAACGUUUAUUAUAAUAGAAGUACUUGAAAUUACAUGGGAAAAAGCUACGACAAUUGGCAGAUUAUGAUUCAAGCACCUGUAAAUUUUUAUGACACUGUAAUGUUUUAAAAAAUGUAAGAGUGGGGACUCCAUAUGCUAUUCAGUUUAGGAUAAAUUAAUAAAAUUCUGCAUAUUAUUAUCUACCUUAGUGAU